CCCUUAGACGUUCUGGGCCGCACGCGCGCUACACUGACCAGUGCAACAAGCAUCCGUCCUUGGCCGACAGGCCCGGGCAAUCUUUGAACGCUAGUCGUGAUGGGGAUAGACUUUUGCAAUUUUUGGUCUUCAACGAGGAAUUCCUAGUAAACGCAAGUCAUCAACUUGCAUUGAUUACGUCCCCGCCCUUUGUACACACCGCCCGUCGCACCUACCGAUUGAAUGGUCCGGUGAAGCCUCCGGAUUGGCGCGCACCUCGGUGCCGCCGAGAAGUUGGCUAAACCUUACCAUUUAGAGGAAGGUGAAGUCGUAACA
rnacentral:rRNA from 1 species